ensembl:snRNA U6 U6 spliceosomal RNA
GUGCUCGCUUCAGUGGCACAUAUACCAAAAUUGGAAUGAUGCAGAGAGGAUUAGCAUGGCCCCUGCGCAAGAAUGACAUGCAAAUUCGUGAAGCAUUCCAUAUUUUU